GCGAGAACAUCUGGAGAGCGGCGCGAACGCGCCCACCGAAGGAGAUUUCCGCACGGGCGCGUCCAGCGCCCGCCCGGAAAGAAACUCUCAGGUACAUGGACAGAUGGGGCACA
rnacentral:ncRNA from 2 species